rnacentral:rRNA from 1 species
UACGAAGGGUGCAAGCGUUAAUCGGAAUUACUGGGCGUAAAGGGUGCGUAGGCGGUUCGUUAAGUCUGUCGUGAAAUCCCCGGGCUCAACCUGGGAAUGGCGAUGGAUACUGGCGAGCUAGAGUGUGUCAGAGGAUGGUGGAAUUCCCGGUGUAGCGGUGAAAUGCGUAGAGAUCGGGAGGAACAUCAGUGGCGAAGGCGGCCAUCUGGGACAACACUGACGCUGAAACACGAAAGCGUGGGGAGCAAACAGG